AUGGGUCAAGGCACGGAGGUGAAGACCAGGGAGGACCCCAAAGUGGAGAUCCAGGAGAAGGGCGAGGUGUUCUUCUUCUACCGGCCCAAGGUGGACAAGGAGGAGGCGCACAGCCCCGACGACGUGCAGCGGAUGUACGUCGUGCUGCGCCCGGAGUCCGCCCCCGACCGCGCCGUCGAGGAGAAGCAGGCGCCGGACUCCGGCAAGGAGGGCAAGAAGAGGAAGACCCGUCACGGCGGCGAUGAGAAGGGGCAGGCGGACGGCGGCAACGAAGGCGGCCACGGGAAGGAGGUGAUAAACGAGAUCGUUCAUUCUCUGUCUGAGAAAUCUGCACAUUGCUCACCGUUUAGUUCUUUGCAGGAGGUGAACGUGGAGGAGAAGCCGCUGCUCCGGCUGAUCGUGAUGGGGAAGAAGAGCCUGCCGGACCCGGCGAAGCACGGCCGGCCGUUCUGGGGCUACGUCGACCUCGUCACGACCGACAUCGAGGACGUCAAGGACGCGCUCAAGGGGGCGGAGUACGACACGGCGACGCGCGGCAAGCGGCACCAGUCCGCGGCGAGGGCGAUGGGCGAGGGCGUGUACCGCAUCGUCAAGCACGAGGGCCGCGGCGGCCGCCCGCACACCCACCUCGUCUACAAGCUCGAGCUGCCCUCGCGCGGCGAGGGCGCCGUCGGGGAGCCGCAGGAGGCCAUGAACGUGGAGCCGGAGGCGUCGUUCCUGGUGCAGAUCAAGAACCCCGAGCAGCGCGGCGGGGGCCGGGGCGGGGGCGGAGGCGGCGGCUUCGGCGGGCUGCAGGGCAAGCGGAAGGCCGCGUUCCCGGAGCACCUGCAGGGGCGGUUCGGGAGCAACCGCUACGCGCCGGCCGACCCGCCGGACCUGCUCAACUACGAGGGGUGCGAGCUGCUGCUGAUCUCGGCGUCCGACGACGUGGAGGAGGAGCUGGGCCUGGAGCUGCAGACGGAGACGGAGGAGGAGACGGGGGAAGGCGCUGGUGAUGGCGGCGAGGGCGGCCGCGCCUGGGCCGGGUGCUCGGACCUGGUGAAGAUGUUCGGCGAGGUGGCCGACGUGAAGCCGCUGCUCAGCGGGAGCUGGGACUAG
rnacentral:rRNA from 1 species